ensembl:snRNA U2 U2 spliceosomal RNA
AUCGCUUCUUGGCCUUCUGGCUAAGAUCAAGUUUGUUAUCUGUUCUUAUCAGUUUAAUAUCUGAGGUAUCUCUUAGUGUAUUCUGCAAUGGCUACACCAGUUUACAUUACCACCAACAGUGGAUUAGAGUACCUUUU